rnacentral:rRNA from 1 species
UAAUACGUAGGGUGCGAGCGUUAAUCGGAAUUACUGGGCGUAAAGCGUGCGCAGGCGGUCUUGUAAGUCAGAUGUGAAAUCCCCGGGCUCAACCUGGGAACUGCAUUUGAGACUGCAAGGCUAGAGUACGGCAGAGGGGGGUGGAAUUCCACGUGUAGCAGUGAAAUGCGUAGAGAUGUGGAGGAACACCGAUGGCGAAGGCAGCCCCCUGGGCCAAUACUGACGCUCAUGCACGAAAGCGUGGGGAGCAAACAGGAUUAGAUACCCUGGUAGUCCACGCCCUAAACGAUGUCAACUAGGUGUUGGGAGGGUUAAACCUCUUGGUGCCGUAGCUAACGCGUGAAGUUGACCGCCUGGGGAGUACGGCCGCAAGGUUAAAACUCAAAUGAAUUGACGG